AACAAUGUUAGCAAGUUUUUUUUAUUUUACUUAGGAACAGAGAAGUGCUCCAGAAAAACAAGACAUCUCAGCUGCUGCUUGGUUUGAGUUUACAGAUGGAAACUUAAUAGUUGUGUCCAUGAGGAGCUGAGCUGUAGCUGAAGUCGGGUCCCUACAGGAAGCUAUGAGGUCAAAAACAACAACCAGAGGAUCCAGCCUGUCUGACUGUGUUUUAAUUGCACUGGGUGGGAAAAAGGGGCUUAAGGGGAAAUGGGCUAAAAAGGCACUUGAGUGUGUUUGUGUGUGUGUUCUCGGACUGUUUGUGGCGCUGUGCUCUGCGGGCUCCAGGCCUGACGACUCCACAGCUAGCCUGCUCACAGAGUAAAUAUUGAUGGCUGUGCUUCCUGCCAUUGAGCGGCCCCACCCGGCUAGCCGGCGAGACUCAGGUCUGCUCAUUGUUUAGGGCAACGGUGCUGGGAGUCACGCAAACAAGAGGGCUGAAAUAUGCAGACUUUUAACUUAAGAGAGCCUUUAAUCAAACAUUUACUGUAAGUGAAACAACACAUUCUAACAGCAUCAGUGCAGAUGUAUCCACUUUAAAUUAUAUGUAUUUUGUUUUUAGCUAUUUUUAAUUACAUGAACUAAAUGAGGUUAGCUCCAUAGCAAUUAUUUUUUACUAUUCUCUAUGAAAAUGCUAUUAAAUACGACCACAAUACAGUGCCUUGCAACAGUGAUCACAUCGCUUAAUUCUUCAUUCUAAGAACUUGCCAUGAUCCACAGCUGUUUGUGUUUUGGUUUUCUUUUGUGUUCUUUUCUUAUUAUUUCUGGAUUUAUUACUGUUACAAAGGCCUUGCCAUAUUCAGUUGUUUAUCAUCGCUAUUAGGGCUUUUCCAUGUAGGUUAAUUCGUUUGUGUUUAGUUUCUUUUUUCAAAAUUAUUAUUUCUUGUGUUCUUUUAUCUAUGCAUUUUGCUUUUUUCUCUCAUGUCAUUUUCAGGCCUUCUGUCUUGUGGUUUCAAGAUCCUUUUCAGCCUGGUAGAUGGUAGAAGUCGAUCCUGUUACCAGUGGGUUGCUGGUUUGAACCCCCGCUUCAUCCUUCUCAGUCAUUGUGUCCUUGGGCAAGACACUUCACUCGCCUUGCCUGCUGAUUGUGGUCAAUGUGCCCCAGGGCAGCUCUGGCUACAAUGUAGCUCACCACUGUCAGUGUGUGAAUGUGUGUAUGAGUGGGUAGAUGACUGUUUGUAGUGCAAAGCCCUUCAGGGUGCUCGGACUAGAUAAAGUGCUAUACAAGUACAGGCCAUUUACAUUUCCUCUGAUUUCUUAUCUACCGCUUAUCUAACCCUCUUAUUUGUCAUUUUCCACCCCUACGUCAAUAUAUAAGCUCCUGGUUUUUCGAUGUUCCUGUCAGGAUCUGGGUUGUGUUUGUGUUUUGUGCUCGCUACAUGUGCUCAGUGUUUUCUGAUGGUGCUGGAGUUCUUAGGUAUGCUGGGUGACAGGUGCAACUUAUUCUACUGAUUACUUUGAGGAGUACUUAAGCAGGAGGCUGCCAGAGUGUUUUGCCCACAGUGGUAACAAGCUCUAGCCAAACACUAAAUCUAUGCUUUGUUCUUCGACCUCGUUGUAACUUCAUUUAUGCUCCUUCGCAGGCUAAGUAAACCUGAAUCCUGGGUUUAUGUCACUGAAUACUGACUAUGUGUCUGGAAGUCUUUCUGGAUGAUCAAGGCUAUCUACAUUCUGAGGAUUUCAUUUCCUAUCUACUGUCUUCGUUUGGAUUCGCAUCUAGCUGGCAGUUUUCUGCUACCUUCGCCUCCUGGACCAAGCCGCAAGCGUACCCUGUCCACCCUCUAAUGUAAGCAUCUGCACACCGAACUCAUUCCUGUUUUGCUCCGAGCUCACACUGAACAGCACCUAAAGAACCUUCUACAAACCUGGAUCCUGAAUGCCUCUUCCCCUGGUGACCUGACAUCACCUAUUUAUUGGAGAGUCAUCCAUUACGUUCCUGAUUAUCUUUGUCACAAUAAACAUCCUUUACAUA